rnacentral:rRNA from 1 species
UACGUAGGGUGCAAGCGUUGUCCGGAAUUAUUGGGCGUAAAGAGCUCGUAGGCGGUCUGUCGCGUCGGACGUGAAAAUCCAGGGCUCAACCCUGGACCUGCGUUCGAUACGGGCAGACUAGAGUUCGGUAGGGGAGACUGGAAUUCCUGGUGUAGCGGUGAAAUGCGCAGAUAUCAGGAGGAACACCGGUGGCGAAGGCGACAUCCUGGACCGGUAUUGACGCUGAGGCGCGAAAGCCAGGGGAGCAAACGGG